GUGGUGUUGGCGUAGGCUGACUGCCUUCCUGUAGGGGAAGCUGGAGGUGUUAGCAUAGGCUGUCUGCCUUAACGUGGAGAAUCUUGGAGAAGCCCGGUCUCUUCUUCAGGGCCUGAAAAGAAGCAGGGUCGACGUGAAGAAGCGCGAAGGGGGUCAUUGGUAGGGCUGUGAAGUGACCUGCAGCUUGUUCACCAUCUCAUCAAACAGCUUCCUGGCCUCAGGGCUGUUGGGAUCUUCAAAGUAGUCUUCGAUGCCGAUCUGGACCACGAUGGACUUGAGGUUACGACACACGCCUACAUGACAACAAAAGACAGCGUGGGAAGAAAACCGGGGAAUGUGAAGAUUUCAUCUAAUUAGAAUGCGCAAUCUUAAAUGCUACUGCUAUUCAUGAUAAGUCAUAUUAGGCAUUUAGCAAAGCUUUCAUCCAAAGAGACCUCCAAUGAGCAGGUAGGGUUUAUGGCUUCUUGCUCAAAGAUGCAUACAGAUAGACUGGGACAUUGGGGCGGGAAUCUGGAGCCUUUUCACUGGGAGUCAAUCACCCGAACCAAUAGACUACCCUGCCUUGAAUAAGUUAGCAUUCACUGUGGGAAUAAAAGCAAAGCUCAGAGUUUUCUUUAACAUAGUUUGUACAAAAGAGAGUAUAAAAUCUCCCUUCGUAAUAGCAGUGGUAGUAGUAGUAGUAGAAUUGGUUACAGUAGUAGUAGUAGUAAUAGUAGUAGUAGUGGUAGUAGUAGCAUUAUUGGUAGUAGUAGCAGUAGUAGUAUUAGUAGUAGUAGUGGUAUUAGUUGUAUUGGUAGUUUAAGUAGUAGUAGCAGCAGUAUUGGUAGCAGUGGUCGUAGUAGUAUUGGUAGUAGUAGUAGUAUUGGUAGUAGUAGUAGUAUUGGUAGUAGUUGUAGUAUUAUUGGUAGUAGUUGUAGUAUUAUUGGUAGUAGUAGUAGUAGCAGCAGUAUUGGUAGCAGUGGUAGUAGUAGUAGUAGCAGUAGUAUUAGUAGUGGUAGUAGUAUUGGUAGUAGUAGUAGUCGUAGGAGUAGCAGUAGUAUUGGUAGUGGUAGUAGUAUUGGUAGUAGUAGUAGUCGUAGGAGUAGCAGUAGUAUUGGUAGUGGUAGUAGUAUUGGUAGUAGUAGUAGCAGUAGUAUUGGUAGUGGUAGUAGUAUUGGUAGUAGUAGUAGCAGUAGUAUUGGUAGUGGUAGUAGUAUUGGUAGUAGUAGUAGCAGUAGUAUUGGUAGUGGUAGUAGUAUUGGUAGUAGUAGUAGCAGUAGUAUUGGUAGUGGUAGUAGUAUUGGUAGUAGUAGUAUUGGUAGAAGUAGUAGCAGUGGUAGUAGUAGUAUUAGUGGUAGUAGUUGUAUCGGUAGUUUAUGUAGUAGUAGCAGCAGUAUUGGUAGUAUUGGUAGCAUUGGCAGCAGUAGUAUUGGUAGUAGUAGUAGUAGUAGUAGCAUAUUCAACUCACUGUUGAAGUGCAGUAGGGCCUUUGGCGUGACCGGCGUGGAGGUGAGGACCAGCAUCUCCAGGCCCUUGAGGCCCUCCCUGCAGACCUCGGCAGCCACCUCCUGGUUGAUCUCACUGACGUGGUCCAGCUCCAGCACCUGCAGACGCAUGCAGUUCCUGGCUGUCGGGGGAGAGGGCCGUGGGAGGAGGAUACGUGGGGGGAGAGAUAGUGAACGUAAAAAGAGUGAAAGUGAAACCAAAACCAAUAUCAUGAUUUGAUCAUCUUGAUAUUAUGUUCAAAAGUGUAAUAGCGAUACCUUUUGUGAGAAGCUGUUACAAAUUCAAUGCAAGACAUUAGACGGUAUAAUAUCUUGCAAAAUCAGUCGAUCAAUUACCUUUGCUUGUCUCUAACUUGAGAGUAAAUCAAGGUUAUUAUGAGGGAUGAAAUAGCAUAGGUUUUGCAUUGAAUUUACUGGAUGCAGGAUAGUCAAGGGUUUACUGUGAACUGACUAGACCUGUCUGUGUAAAAUAAACACAAAUGUGUGAAGAAUGAA